rnacentral:rRNA from 1 species
UACGUAGGGUGCAAGCGUUGUCCGGAAUUAUUGGGCGUAAAGGGCUCGUAGGCGGUUUGUCGCGUCGGGAGUGAAAUCCAUUGGCUUAACUGGUGGCUUGCUUUCGAUACGGGCAGACUGGAGGUAUGCAGGGGGAGAACGGAAUUCCAGGUGUAGCGGUGAAAUGCGUAGAUAUCUGGAGGAAUACCGGUGGCGAAGGCGGCAUCCUGGACCGGCAUUGACGCUGAGGAGCGAAAGCUAGGGGAGCAAACGGGG